rnacentral:rRNA from 1 species
AGAGUUGUAUCCUGGCUCAGGAUGAACGCUGGCGGUAUGCCUAACACAUGCAAGUCGUACGAGAGUUUUUAACUCAAGUGGCGGACGGGUGAGUAACACGUGAGAAUUUGCCUUUAGGAGGGGGAUAACAGAGUGAAAACGCUGCUAAUACCCCAUAUGCUUUCGAGUGAAAUGGAUUUAUUCGCCUAAAGAGAAGCUCGCGGCUGAUUAGCUUGUUGGUAAGGUAAUGGCUUACCAAGGCGACGAUCAGUAUCUGGUUUGAGAGGACGAUCAGACACACUGGAACUGAGACACGGUCCAGACUCCUACGGGAGGCAGCAGUGGGGAAUUUUCCGCAAUGGGCGAAAGCCUGACGGAGCAAUACCGCGUGAGGGAUGACGGCCUAUGGGUUGUAAACCUCUUUUCUCAGGGAGGAAAUCAAUGACGUUACCUGAGGAAUAAGCAUCGGCUAACUCCGUGCCAGCAGCCGCGGUAAGACGGAGGAUGCAAGUGUUAUCCGGAAUCACUGGGCGUAAAGCGUCUGUAGGUGGCUUAACAAGUCAACUGUUAAAUCUUGAAGCUCAACUUCGAAAUCGCAGUCGAAACUGUUAGGCUAGAGUAUAGUAGGGGUAAAGGGAAUUUCCAGUGGAGCGGUGAAAUGCGUAGAUAUUGGAAAGAACACCGAUGGCGAAAGCACUUUACCGGGCUAUUACUAACACUCAGAGACGAAAGCUAGGGUAGUAAAUGGGAUUAGAUACCCCAGUAGUCCUAGCCG